UUUAUUGGCAGAUUAAUGCAUUAGAAUUAGAAUCUAAUCAACU
rnacentral:tRNA from 1 species